CCCCGGCGUUUCGCCACCUCGGCCGAAACGCAGCCGGGGGGGGCUGAAAAGCGCCUUUGUCAUUUCUUAAUAUUCCAGAGGUUUCGGCGCUUCGGCGCGGACACAAAGGGGAUGUUUAUUGCCUGUGCCGCGGGAUUCAUGCUUUUAAUUUCCUGGGGGCAACAUAUCUCUGCAAUGACUAGCGGCUUUUUUUUGUUCUCCAUCAGGCCUUUUAUCAGCCGGCUGAUAGGGCUCACUCCGCAUCUCUGCCUCCCUUCGUGAGAGCGAUUGUUAUGUGCAGCGUCUGCUGUAACCUCAAGUAUUACGUACCCAAGUCUCCCUGGGACAGCAUGAGCUAAUUCUCAUUUCAGAGAUCGAGCGUCUGACACACCAGACAGCACAGGACAGCACAGCUGCAAUGCCAAGGCUGCCUCCCCCUAGGCAGUUACCCGUCAAUUUAAAGGAGAGUGAUUGGAGUGAUGGCACCUGAAGGUUUACUCCAGUCAGCUAGAGCAACCACUAAGAGACCUUUCCUGAAGAAUAUCAGCAGCUGGAACAGUGUGAUAAGCUCAGACCCUGCCUGUCCCCUGCUAGCAGCACAGAAACAAGGAGUUAGUUACACAGGAAAAUUCAUGGAAACAAAAAGAUUUUUGUCCAUAUUUGCCAUUAGGGUAGAAAUGAGCAGGGAUUGACUCCCCACCAAGCUAGAACUUCUUAAAGAGCUCCUUUCUUUAAAUUUAAUAUGACAGCUUUCUGCAGCCUGCUUCUCCAGGAAAAACACAGCCCUCUGCAAUUCGAUUAUAAAUGUGCAUGAUACCUUUGGGACUAGCAGCAACGCAGAGCUCCAUGGCUGAAUUUGAUCAGGGCAUGUCACACCAACUUAUAGGAAGUUUGUGAUACGCACCAAAUAUUUUAGCUGACAACAAAACUCAAAAGUUUAUAGAGAAGAAGUAAUCUGAAGCCAGCAUAUAUACUGGUGUUCAGUAGUUAAAGCACAGCACAUGGAGAGAUGCUGUUGAGUUAUAUUACUGACUCAGCCACAUACAUAGGCAAAUCUACCUGCCCUUUCUAUGGCUUGGUUUCCUCAACUGCAAUUCAGAAUCGCUUGCUGAUACUCAGAUUCUGUGCUAUUAGGAAAUGAUUCCCAGAAAAGUGAUCAUUAUUGAUCUAGUGCUCUCAGGUAAAGCAAUGAGAGUCUGAGGAAAACAUGACAUAUGAAGGAGCUUUUAAAAAUAAGGUCAAAUCUACACUUUUGUGCUUAAAAGCUCAUCUGUUUCUGUCAUCUACACUGGCUGAUCUCAUAAAAGUCUCCUUUACGUUAUCUCUUUAGACCAUCAUGGCUACAACAAUACAACUUUUAAAGCACAUUAGUGCCACAGAAAUGAUUAAACAUGGAUAAUAGCAAGCACAUUAAUAGUUGAAAAUGUAGCCCAGGGCUUUUAACAAUUGAUGCAUGCGUUAUUGUAAAAAGAACGAAAGCUAGCAGGGUGGGAUUCUCAAGAGCACUUCAUGUUAGCUUAGCGUCAGUACUCGAAUGGGAAAUUGUGCUGGAGAAAACAAAGCAUAGCUAAAAAUACUGGUGCUGAAUUCAUAAGCAGAGUCAAUAUCAAACAGAUGCUAUGGUAGAUGUUUGGAGGGGAGAUCCUUUCUCUACGAGAAUCAGCAGUAGUCACAGAGAGAUACUUCAAGCAGCAAAAAUCCAUAGGAAACCUCAGAAGUGAAUAUCCAUGUCCUUGAACUAUGCCUGGAAUCUGCCUGCAUGACUGAAAUGCCUGGCUGUAGGAUCUCAGGCACCAUGAUGACAUGGAUACUGCUACAACCACAAGAGAUGCUGCUGGUUUGUUGCCAAACCUCCCACCAGCUGUGCCAUCCUGCCGAGGCUGCUGUCAAACCACACUUGGGAGGAACAGACUCCUCUUAAGCAACAUCCCAGGGCAACUUCACAGAAUAGCUGGGUUUGGCAGAGACCCCUGGAGAUCAUCUGGUCCAGCUCCCCUGCUCAAGCAGGGUCAGAUAGAGCACGCUGCCCAGGUGUCCAGUCACGGUCUGAAUAUCUUCAAGGAUGGAGACUUCACAACCUCUCUGGGCAACUUGUUCCAGCAUUCAACCACCCUCAGUAAAAAAGCAUUUUCUGACAUUCA